AUUGCCUUAGUACGGCGAGCUGAAGCGGCAAAAGCUCAAAUUUGAAAUCUGGCACCUUCGGUGUCCGAGUUGUAAUUUGAAGAAGGUAACUUUGGAGUUGGCUCUUGUCUAUGUUCCUUGGAACAGGACGUCACAGAGGGUGAGAAUCCCGUGCGAUGAGAUGCCCAAUUCUAUGUAAAGUGCUUUCGAAGAGUCGAGUUGUUUGGGAAUGCAGCUCUAAGUGGGUGGUAAAUUCCAUCUAAAGCUAAAUAUUGGCGAGAGACCGAUAGCGAACAAGUACAGUGAUGGAAAGAUGAAAAGAACUUUGAAAAGAGAGUGAAAAAGUACGUGAAAUUGUUGAAAGGGAAGGGCUUGAGAUCAGACUUGGUAUUUUGCGAUCCUUUCCUUCUUGGUUGGGUUCCUCGCAGCUUACUGGGCCAGCAUCGGUUUGGAUGGUAGGAUAAUGACUAAGGAAUGUGGCUCUACUUCGGUGGAGUGUUAUAGCCUUGGUUGAUACUGCCUGUCUAGACCGAGGACUGCGUCUUUUGACUAGGAUGUAGG
rnacentral:rRNA from 1 species